UACGGGGGGGGCAAGCGUUGUUCGGAAUUACUGGGCGUAAAGGGCGUGCAGGCGGUUUGUUAAGUGCAGGGUGAAAGCUCCCGGCUCAACUGGGAGAGGUCCUUGCAUACUGGCAAACUCGAGGGAGGCAGAGGAAAGUGGAAUUCCCGGUGUAGUGGUGAUAUGCGUAGAUAUCAGGAGGAACACCGGUGGCGAAGGCGGGACUCUGGGCCGAUACUGACGCUGAGGAGCGAAAGCGUGGGGAGCAAACAGG
rnacentral:rRNA from 1 species